rnacentral:misc_RNA from 1 species
GUAUUGAUUGCGUGUCAUCGCAAAAUGGGGUCAUUCUACACUUUUUAAAAGGGGUUUGUGUGAAAACGCAAGCCCCCCUCGAGACAGGCCAGAAGGGGACCCACGCGGUGGUGCACAGGGUGAGAUGGAUUGUUUGAGAGCGCUCGGGCGUGCACGACAAAAAAGUCAGCGACAGCCCUUGCACCUCAGUUUUACGAUAAUGAUCCUUCCGCAGGUUCACCUACGGAAA